GAUGAACGCUGGCGGCGUGCCUAAUACAUGCAAGUCGAACGAUGAAACCUAGCUUGCUAGGUCGAUUAGUGGCGAACGGGUGAGUAACACGUGACUAACCUGCCCCUUUCUCUGGGAUAACGCUCCGAAAGGAGUGCUAAUACCGGAUACUCACACCGAGGCACAUGCCUUGGUGUGGAAAGUUUUUCGGAAAGGGAUGGAGUCGCGGCCUAUCAGCUUGUUGGUGAGGUAACGGCUCACCAAGGCGACGACGGGUAGCCGGCCUGAGAGGGCGACCGGCCACACUGGGACUGAGACACGGCCCAGACUCCUACGGGAGGCAGCAGUGGGGAAUAUUGCACAAUGGGCGCAAGCCUGAUGCAGCGACGCCGCGUGAGGGAUGAAGGUCUUCGGAUUGUAAACCUCUUUCAGUAGGGACGAAGCGAAAGUGACGGUACCUAAAGAAGAAGCACCGGCUAACUACGUGCCAGCCGCCGCAGUAA
rnacentral:rRNA from 1 species